rnacentral:rRNA from 1 species
GCACAAGCGGUGGAUGAUGUGGUUUAAUUCGAUGCAACGACGAAAACCUUACCCACCUUUGACAUGUACGGAAGCCUUUAGAGAUAGAGGCGUGCUCGAAAGAGAGCCGUAACACAGGUGCUGCAUGGCUGUCGUCAGCUCGUGUCGUGAGAUGUUGGGUUAAGUCCCGCAACGAGCGCAACCCUUGUCAUUAGUUGCUACAUUCAGUUGGGCACUCUAAUGAGACUGCCGGCGACAAGCCGGAGGAAGGUGGGGAUGACGUCAAGUCCUCAUGGCCCUUAUAGGUGGGGCUACACACGUCAUACAAUGGCUGGUACAAAGGGUUGCCAACCCGCGAGGGGGAGCUAAUCCCAUAAAGCCAGUCGUAGUCCGGAUCGUAGUCUGCAACCCGACUACGUGAAGUCGGAAUCGCUAGUAAUCGCAGAUCAGCAUGCUGCGGUCGAAUACGUUCCCGGGCCUU